rnacentral:rRNA from 1 species
GACGAACGCUGGCGGCGUGCCUAAUACAUGCAAGUUGAGCGCUGAAGGUUGGUACUUGUACCGACUGGAUGAGCAGCGAACGGGUGAGUAACGCGUGGGGAAUCUGCCUUUGAGCGGGGGACAACAUUUGGAAACGAAUGCUAAUACCGCAUAAAAACUUUAAACACAAGUUUUAAGUUUGAAAGAUGCAAUUGCAUCACUCAAAGAUGGUCCCGCGUUGUAUUAGCUAGUUGGUGAGGUAAAGGCUCACCAAGGCGAUGAUACAUAGCCGACCUGAGAGGGUGAUCGGCCACAUUGGGACUGAGACACGGCCCAAACUCCUACGGGAGGCAGCAGUAGGGAAUCUUCGGCAAUGGACGAAAGUCUGACCGAGCAACGCCGCGUGAGUGAAGAAGGUUUUCGGAUCGUAAAACUCUGUUGGUAGAGAAGAACGUUGGUGAGAGUGGAAAGCUCAUCAAGUGACGGUAACUACCCAGAAAGGGACGGCUAACUACGUG